rnacentral:rRNA from 1 species
UACGGAGGGUGCAAGCGUUAAUCGGAAUUACUGGGCGUAAAGCGCACGCAGGCGGUUUGUUAAGUCAGAUGUGAAAUCCCCGAGCUUAACUUGGGAACUGCAUUUGAAACUGGCAAGCUAGAGUCUUGUAGAGGGGGGUAGAAUUCCAGGUGUAGCGGUGAAAUGCGUAGAGAUCUGGAGGAAUACCGGUGGCGAAGGCGGCCCCCUGGACAAAGACUGACGCUGAGGCACGAAAGCUAGGGGAGCAAACAGG